GACAUUGUUAAAGCCUUCAAUUCGGAUCCUACUAUAGAUGUUUUAUUGCUUACUACACAUGUUGGUGGGCUUGGUUUGAACCUGACAUCAGCUGAUACCCUUGUGUUCAUGGAGCAUGACUGGAAUCCAAUGCGAGAUCACCAGGCUAUGGAUCGAGCUCACAGGUUGGGCCAGCGAAAAGUUGUGAAUGUGCAUCGUCUCAUUAUGCGAGGAACCUUGGAAGAAAAAGUAAUGAGUCUCCAAAGGUUCAAAGUGUCUGUUGCCAAUGCAGUGAUCAAUUCAGAGAAUGCAAGUUUGAAAACGA
rnacentral:misc_RNA from 1 species